UGGAGUUCUUGCAGAUUUUCAAAUAAAACUCAGAGAUUCCUUGUAUGACUCUCUCAGAUCUCUCUUUUGUGGUAUUUCUGGGUCCUUACCAAGGCAGUAAUGGUAUAUGCCUUCUCUCAAAGUAUGUGGUAUAAUGCAUAGUGAUAUUGCCUUCUCUCUCACCCUACUCUAAUAAGGUUUUGAUAUCUGGAGCUCAUAGGUGGGAGACAGCUAAUACAUACUUACAAGACAUUUAUUGCAUAGUCAAACCAUGGAUCCAGAGAAACAAGUCAAUAAGUCAAAUCAAGAUGUGUAUGUGUGGCGAAUGAAUGGUGUAUGGUGAUGAUGGUGAUAACAAUGGUGAAAGUCUAAUUCUACUUUUGCUCUUUUGAGGGGAUACAUACCUUUCUUGCACUUUGAAGCUUUUUUGAGGAGAAUGAGAUGCUCUAUAUUUUCUUUUUGUUUUCUCUCAGGUGGGUAUCUUGUACCCCUAAUUCUACUGUCGGACACUUGUCCAUUUUUACCACUCGUCUCACUUUUUCUUUUCUUCGAGGUUCCGGACACUUGCCCCUUUUUAUUUCCUCGUAUUCAUUUUUUUUCUUUCUUUCUUUUUUAGAGCACUCAUCUCCUAAAAUAAUAUAGCAAGUGGUAGUAACCAAGAUAACUCGAGUAUUUAUUUCACAAGGAAAAACAGAAAUGUUUUUGGCUAUUCUCUCCCGGAUUAGAAGUAGAAUACUUUUGGGUGGCUCUGGAGAUGGAAGUGAGUGGAUAUAUGCGGAUGCGUACUUCCGAAGUAGAAGCAGCAUGUGUGAGUGAACGUGCAAGUGAAUCUUGAUUUUAACCACAUGACAAGCUCCUAAGGGUCUACACAGCUUCACCACACUCAAUGCUCAUAAGCAGUAAUAAGUAAAUGUGUGGCUCAAAGUCUAAUAAGCAUGUAUAUAUGGCUGUGGUAGGAUUUUAAACACUCAUCAUAUAGGAACUCAUCAUGUGUUAUUUUAAAGAUUUUCAAAGAUAAAAUUCUCCAAAAUUCUAGCAUCUCUAGGAACAGAUAAACAGCAGCUCAACCUCUCAUAUCAUAUCCGUUAACAACUUAGACUUCAGAUCAAGUACUCUUCCCACAAGUUCAGGUUUAGAGCAAAUUACUUCAUAAGAGUCAUGCCUAAACUUGAGAGAGAUUUCAAUUGUAAGAACUAGUCAUGCCAGAGCAACUAUUGAUCAUUUCCAUGUGAGAGUUUAUCAUGAGGGUUCAUAGCAAACUUUAUUUAUUUAUUUAUUUAGCAAAUUAAGCAAAGAUAUAUAUAAAAGCACAAAAUCUUUAUUUGGGUUUUUAUAAUUAUGUAUCUUUUUAUUAUUUGAGUAUAAACGCGAGUAGAAACACUUAGCUGGAUAAAUGGGGGUGCUCUCCCCCAAGCGGGAUUUUGACGUAAUUUCUUCUGGUGUAGCUAGCACGUGGCGAAGGUGUAUUUGAAUGUCGGCAGCAUCCUGACAGCGAUUAGGAUGUCCUCCGUCUGCUAGUCUUCUUUUGAUCCUUGAAUUUUGUGGAGCUCAAAUAGACAACAAAGCUUUGUGGAACUGGUUAAGUGUUAGCAUAAAUAUCUAGCCUUUAUCAUGUUGAGCCUCCUCAAUAAAUAUUAUUUAUUUAGCAGGAUCAUGCACUUAUUAUUUUUAUAUUUUUAUUGUAAGAUGAAAACUUAUUUAUUUUAUUUUUAUGCCACCACAGUGAAUGUACUUAUGGGUUUUAUGCCAUGAGCAUACCCGCAUGAGGCUUACUAUUUUUUAACAUUUUUAUUUUCUUUUCAAGAUAGCAUGAACCUGAUUAACUAAGCAAACUAUAAUUGAAUAAUUGAAAGGAAAAGGAUAACUACCAAAUUUACCUCUGGACAAGGCGUUCGGUGUUUUUAAGUCCACCGAAUGGGACUCUCCGUUUUCUCAGUCGUCCUGGGAUUCGCUGGAUGGCGUAGUCGGUGAUUCCGGUGGCGCCUCCUCUUCGUGUAUAACUAUCUUCUCCCUCCACACCUGACUCGGUGCUACGGUCUCCUCAGGACAGUUCUGCUCAAGCUGCAUAUCUUUGGACCUUAUUACAUCUCCUUUGUAGUCUGCCCAUCCGUCCUUGAUGAUUUGUCUACUCUAGUUUUGGUUGCGUUGUCGUCUUCAGAGGGAAGUGCAUGUGGACUUCUCCGGUUCCAAUAUAGAUGAUGGCUUUGAUAGUGUUGAGAAACGGUCUUACAAGGAUGGUGGGUGUAUCAUACUCGUCAUCUAUCAUGUCAAUGACCUGAAAAUCAUCUGGAGCUGAAUAUAUAUUGGUUGUAGGGGCAUGGUUCCAUGCAGAAGCUAAUAAGUAACUACAACCAUUAUGUUGACAUCAGAUCCGGUGUCGUAGAGUGUCUUCCGAAAAGAGUAUCCAUUGAUUGUGCACUUGAUGCUUGGAACACCAGGGUCAUCCUUCUUGAUCAGGAAAGGCGACUUGAGUCAACGAUCUUGACCUCCUUCGACAAGGAUCCAAUGUUUUAAGUCUUCUGGACAAGACUUCUCACUGUCUUCAUCAUUUAGGUGCAUCAUUUGAUUAGGUGUGGACCUUGACGUCUGCACCUCUUGAUACGGAGUCACCCAUGUUCUUCGUUUGCCCAGUAGUUCGUAGUGCGGCGUUGGCAAUAUCCUGCUCAGUGUGUUUGUGCUUGUAGAUCUAGGUUCUUCACUUGGUGGAAUCUAGGAGUUGUAAAACUCCUUCAGGUUUUGCUUGAAGUGUACCUGUUCAUAGAGACAAGGCAGAGAUCAAGUGUGAAAGGUCCUUGUUUGGUUUUGGUAAUUGAGUGACAACUUAGGUGGACUAAUAGUGUUUAUGUGAGAUACACAGGAGAUUAGUCCACAGGUGAUGAUGUGAUGAUGGAGGAGCUCAUUGCAUAUGAGACAUGACAUGGAGUCAUGUGACCAAGGUGGAGAAGAUCAAGAUGAGGCUUGGCUCGAUGGACCGGUUGCAAGAGUGAAGGGCAAGUCGGAGGCUUUGAAGCGAGGGACCGCGUGUGACGGUGAAGCUUGAGCAAGACUUGGCACAGAUGGACCGAGGCAACGGUGAAGAGCAAGUGAGGUCAAGAUCGAUGAACCAAUACGGUCGCGUGAUGAUAUGAAGUGGAUCAUAUCAUUUGGUGAUUGGUUGGUGCAUGUGUUGCAUCAACAUUGGAGGAGAUGGAAUGGAAAGCGCAAGGCAAAGGUAUAACCUAGGGCUUUUCCAUUUCACCGGUCAUAGGUGUGUAGAGAAGUUUAUGACCGGAUUUAGGAUAGAUGGCCGUACUAUCAAGAGGGGCAAACUUGUUUGCAUAUCGGUCAUCUAGUGCCACUUGAGCGAUCUAACUUUGCAUAUGUGUUAGGAUCGAGUGGCGUGGCAAGUUGAGAGGCUAACUCCUUUGGUGAAAAUGUUUGUGAAAAUGCUAACACACUUGCACAUGAUGGUGUACACUUGGUGGUGUUGGCACAUUUGCAAAGGAGAAGGUGUUGAAGUUGAUUUUGUUCAACUUGGAGAAGAGAGAGAAGUCUUUCGGUGUUCUCCGGACAUUAGGAUGGCAUUUAGAUUGAAUACUGCUUUGAUCCAUUUUUAUUUGGAUUGAGUAUUCAUUUUUAUUGGAUAGUACUCUAAGUAAGCUUUCCAAAAUGUCCAAGAUCAUCGAAUUCGGAGUUCGGAGCUAAAAGUUAGCAACCUAACAAGUUGAACUGCAGGCACAGGACGCACUGUUCCAGCGUCCGGUGGCACAGGACGCUGAGCGUCCGGUGGCACAGGACGCACUGUUCCAGCGUCCGGUGGCACAGGACGCUGAGAGUCCGGUGCUGCUGCAAGUAUGAGUUGCUCUCUGCGUGUGAGUCCGGUGAGCACCGGACCGUCCGGUGUGAAGCAGCAGAGAGUCCGGUGCUACUGUUCCAGACGCGCGUGCGUGUGCUAGCCGUUGGCGGCAACGGUCAAGUUCAAACGGCUAGUGACACGUGGCUGUUUUUGGAGCACAGGACGCACUGUUCCAGCGUCCGGUGGCUCCCUGUGAGCGUCCGGUGCUCACGACUUUUGCCCAGUGAAGGGGCAACGGCUAGUUUAGCCUUUAGGGCUAUAAAUAGAAGUGGUGGCCGGCCUUGGCUGGUGCUGAGCACCCUUGGGACUUAGUGUCCAUGCUUGGGGAGUGCUAGGAAAGCCUCUAACUUACUUGUGCUUGCAAGAGUGCGAAUCAAUAGCGAGUGAGCGAUUCUAGUGCGUUGCAUUGAGAGAUUGCAUCGAGUGGCACUAGGUGUUCGUGUUGCAAGCCGGUGGUGCUUGUUACUCUUGGAGGUUGCCACCUCCUAGACGGCUUGGUGGCUUGUGACUCCGUCGAAGCACGCAAGGAGAUUGUGCGGUGCUCCGGAGAAGAGAUUGUGAGGGGUACGGUGCUCACCCCGCGGGGAUCGCGAAGAGCAACUCUAGUUGAGCGAGACGUGAAGAGCGACAAGUGGUCCGGCCGGGUAAAGUGCUAGAGCUUGUGGUAAGCACUCCACGUGGGAGAGUGUGACUUGCGGGUCACCACUAGCAAGAGGACCGGCGGCAACCUUGGAGCUUGUCUCAACGGGGACGUAGCUUGGUGGCAACCAAGUGAACCUCGGGAGAAAAUCAUCGUGUCAACUUUGUUCUUCCCGUUGGUUUGCAAGUCCCUAACACAAGCUUGUAUUUACAUUCAUAUAUUUGUGCUUGUGUAGUUGCUCUUGUAAUUAGUUAGCUUGUGUAGCUUGCUAGUUACCUUCUUGCUUGUGUGGCUAGAAGUAGUUCCCCUUGCGUGACUAAUUUGGUUUGUGUAACCUUGUUAGUCACAUUGCUUAGUUUGUGUAGCUAAGUAAGUUGUGCUCUCUAAUUUGGCAUUAGUUGCCUUGUUAUUGAGCUUGCUAGUGAGCUUAGGCUUUGUGCGCUUUGCCUCACUAGUUUGUGUAGGAGCUCCCUCGGUUUGUAAAGUACUAGUUGCAUAGGUUUGUGUGACCUUGCUCCUAGAAUUGUUUAGGUGAGCUCUUGCUAAGGUGGCACCUUGCUUGCUUGUUUAGGAUCUUUUCAAGGUGCUAGAGAACUUAGAUAGAGGGGUGUAGUCUUGGCUAGACCGAUAGUUUUAAUUCCGCAUUUGUUUCGGUUAGCCGGCGUAGUAAAUUUUAUAAAGGACUAGUCACCCCCCCUCUAGUCCGCCAUCUCGACCCUUCAAGUGGUAUCAGAGCUAGGUCUCUCAUUUGUGGUCUUCACCGACCCGAGAGGAUGGCGACUUAUGGGCUAGAUGUUGAGUGUCCACACAUUUUUGAUGGCACACACUUUGCACAGUGGAGAAAUUGGAUGACAUGCAAUUUUAAGUUUAUUUCUCCUCAAAUGUGGUGGAUCGUAGAUGUGGGUUUUUCUUGUGCAAUUGAUAAAAAGGUUGCAACUCAAGCGCAAAAGAAAUACCUACAUCUCGAUUGCCAAGCUACUAACAUCUUCUACUCAUCUAUAAAAGAUAAUAUAUUUGGUGAGAUCAUGGAUAUGAAGUCCGCCCAUGAGAUUUGGGUAUUUCUCAAUGAGAAAUAUGGGGCAAUAUCCAAAGAAGAUGAUGUGCCAAAGGUGGAUGCAAAUGAGGAUGUUGAGCAUGACCACAACAUGGUUGUUAUGGAGGAUUGCUCCACCUCAUGGUCAAGUGAUGGUGAUGACGACGCUACCACAAGAUCACUUGAAAAGGAUGAUGAUGAUGCCACAAGUGAUGCAAAUGAUGAUGCUACCUCAUGCACACUUGAUGAUGAAGAUGAUGGCUAUGAGAGUGAUGCUUCCACAAGCUCAUCUACUACAUCACCACAUUGCUUCAUGUCACAUGGUGACACUAAGGUAUCUAUUGGUGAUGUGAUUAUUGAUUGUGAUGGUCCAAAUUUUGAGCUUGUAUGCAAACUCUCAAAAGCUUUAAGAAAUGAGUUAGCAAAAACAAAUAAAUUGAAAAAUGAAAACUCAUUUCUAAAGACCACAUGUGAACAACAAAAGCAUCUACUUUAUGUUACUACUUGUUCACAUGAGGAGCUAAAAUUGGUUCAUGAGGAACUUUGUGUUGCUCAUGAUAACUUAGUAAAAGAUCAUGCUUUUCUCACUAAGUGGCUUUCUAAUGAAGAAACUAAAACUAGUGAGAGCUCAUCAUUUGGGUCAAAUGAUCGAUCAUAUGAUAUUACUAACCCUUGUGAUGUAGGUAAGAAGCAUGUAUCCACCUCUUGUGAUGAUUUAUUAUCUAUGCCAUGUUCUUCACAUUUAGGUGCUUGUUCUACUUCUAUGUCUUGUGAGACUAACAUUUUGAAGGAGAACAAUGAGCUCAAAAAUGAAGUGAAGAAUUUGAGCAACAAGUUAGAGAGGUGCUACUACUCAAAAGUCACCUUUGAGCAUAUAUUGAAGACUCAAAGAAUCUAUGGUGACAAGUGUGGCCUUGGCUUCAAGAAGAAGAUGACAAAGGGCAAAAGAAAGCAAGAGAAAGAAAAGCUCUCUCAUUUCAUGUGCUACCGGUGCCAUGAAGUGGGACAUCUUGCAAAUGGUUGCCCAAACAAAGAGAAGCUCAAGAAGAUGAAGGAAGAAGAGAGGUUAAAGCAUGUUAAGUGCUUCAAGUGUCGCACUUGGGGUCAUCUCACCUCAAUGUGCCCAACCAAGCAAUUGGUGAAGCAUCAAACGAAGCCUCAACAAAAGCCACAAGUUGAGCAAGAAAAGAAGCCCCAAGCUCAAGUCAAGAUCAACCAUGAAGAUGGUGGUGACAUGGGGAUGAUGAAAAAGAAGACAAGAAGGGGAGGUAGACAAUCAAGAUCAUCAAAAGACCUCUCCCACAUCAAAUGCUUUGAGUGCAAGAAUGAUGGACACUUUGCCUCGAAGUGUCCUACCAAGCUUGAGAAGAAGGCUCAAGCAACUCUCAAGAGGCAAGGCAAUGAGAAGCAACGCAUGAGCAAGGAAGAAAAGGCUCAAUCCAAAAGAAGUUGCUACUUAUGCCGGGAAAGGGGACACAUGGCUUAUUCAUGUCCCCUAGGUAAUAAUUCUAAGCCCAUUUCAAUUGAUGAUAAUACUAUGCUUAGAAAGGAUGGUAAUGGUACCUCUAUGGUUGCUAUUGCAAAACAUCCCGCUACUCAUACUAAGGCUAUGCCUAAGUAUGUUGCACCUAACUUGAGAGGACCCAAACUAGUUUGGGUACCAUCAAAAAGUGGAUGAUUGUUUGUAGGUACCAUCGGCAUUGGAGGCUUGAUUCAAUUGAUCUUAUAUUAUUCAUCAUAUGAUUGAGUCAAGUAUUGAAGCUUAGUGCUUAUCCUAUCCCAAUGCCAAGACAAAUAAGUGAAGUCCAAGUGCUACAACAUACAAGUGCAAAUAUUCAAGUUGUGGUGAUUUAUUGGAUUAUUUGAUGGCUUGCAAAUACAUGAGUUCAAGCUUGCAAAUUAGAUGAUCAUGAGCUAACCAAGGUAUAUCUCUGUUGAUCACAUUCAUUUGGGUGCAUAUGAGUUGAUUGAAUUAGAUAUAUAUGCAAUGUUGCUUGCUAUAAGAUGAUUGAAUGGAUUAAAUGCUUAGUAAUCAAGUUUGGAUUGAUUUGAGUUGGAUAAGUUCAUGAGAUAACAUUUAGUAAGUGGAUUGAAUGGAUAUAUGUCUUGUGAAAGUAUUCAAUCAAGUUGAUUUCAAGUUUGAUUCAAUUUGAACAAGUAUAGCUCAAUUGCUUGAAAUCUGUCCAUUUUUGAAAAUCUGAGCUAGCAGUGAUCAAGUCUGAGUUUGAGUGACCAAAUCUAUUUGGAAUGGCUUGAAAUUUGGUAUGCAUGCUGUACACUUUAUCAUAGAAGAUGCUGUAGAAAUUUCAUGAAGAUUGGAUAAGGGAUGCUUCGGUUUUGGAGUGGAUCUUAUCAGCUAUAGUGCAGCAAAUUUCAGCAUGUAGCAGUGGUGGAAGAAUUGAAAUCUGGUAGCAAUCUAGAAGUCAAAAGAAGAUCAAAUUUUUACAGCUGCUAGAUGACUCAGUAAAGCACAUCUCCACCAAAUUUCGUAGUAUUUGGAUCUGUACAUGGUGAGAUAUGAGUUAUUCUUUGAAAGGUACAGAAUCUGCCAGAAAAGUGACAAAUAUUGGAUUGAUCUAGAGUCACUUAAAUUGAAAGGUCCUCAAGUUGGAAUUAUAAUUAUAAGUGUUUGAGGCACCUAAGUUUGGUCUUGAAUUGAUCUAGAAGCAUGACAAGUAAUGAGUACAAGGUCAUUUGAUUGUGGAAUGUACUUAGUGUACACAUUUAGUACUCAAAUUGAAGAUCAAGAUCAAACUCAAGAUGAAGUUUAAGUUUAAGUUCUAGUGACUAUUGGAGAUCAUUUGGUAGAAAGAAAAGGACUUAAACAAGUAGAAAGAAAAGGACUUAAAGAAGGUUUCAUGGUUACUCAUCACAUUAAGUCCGUCACUUGAAUCAAUCAAUCAAAGGCAAUUCAAAUAAGUGUCAAAAAUGGUUCUUUGGAGAGAGGUCACUUCUCCCUAUGUGAGGGGCGUGCCGCCCGAGGAGUGGGUAAACCAAGUGUGGUGCUUGGAAGGCUAACAUGGAAGUGGUGAUCUAAAGAACAUUUGAGAUACUUAGUUGAAGCAAUCAAAAGGAUUGAUCAAGAAAGCAAGCAACACCCAAAGAGAGCUAAUCAUGAUGUUCAAGUGGUAUUCUUAUUAGAUCUCUCAUGCAAGCAAUGGUCAAAAGAAGAAGCAAGCCAACCACAACAUGAAAGUGCACUUGACCAUAAGUGGUUCUAAAUUCAUAUGGGUGAAGAUUUAAUCUAUCAAUUGGCAUUUAUAAUUGGUCUUCACCAAGCUUAUCAAUUGGACUUCACAUUGCUAUUUGGAGCUAAAUUGGAAUCUUAUUGACUAUCCUCUACUCCAAGAUAGCAAAGGUAUCAUUGUAAUGUGCAUGAUCAUUUCAUCCCUUACUAGUAUGCGGUUAGUGCAUAUAGUACAUGCUUAAUAGGAUCAUGCAUAACAAAUGAAAAGUUUUCAAUUCAUAACCUACCACUAUUGCUUGAAUGAUUAAUUGAUCUAGUGGUAUGUGUAUGAGUUUGUUCAUGAGCUAGUGAACCCAAGUACUUGAUCUAUUUUGGAUUGUUAACAAGUGACAAGUACAACAUUGACAAGAUAACCCUUAAUGUGAGGUGUGAAAAAGCUUGUCAUUGGUUCAAACCGGACUUGGAAGCUUUAGCAAAUCAACUUAGUUCAAGUCAACAAUUAGAAGCUCAUGAUGAUUGGAGUACAAGAACAAGACAACAAUGAAAAUGGAUAUCUAAACUCAAAUAUUUCCUCAAUUGGUAUCCUACAAUUGGUACUCAAGAUAGCAAAUGUUCAAGAUAACAAACAAGUGGUUCCAUACUAGAAGACCUUAAUUGGUAGAAGAAACCCAUAUGGUAUCGGACAAGAUAUUUCAAAAUAUCACAUUCAUACAUAUGGUAUCUAUCAUACAAGAAGGUGGUUCCACAAGUGAUCCGCAACUUUAAGUGAUCAUCAAGCGAAACAAGUUCCCUCACCAACAAGAUUGACAAGUGAAUGACCCAUGCUAUGACAUAGGGGGAGUGCCCCACCAAAUGGUAUCAAGGUCAAAGAUACUAUGUGGUAUCUCAAGAACAAUACAAGAAAUGUCAUUCCAAUACAUAUGGUGAUGUCCAUCAAAAAUGCAAGAUUCAAGCCUCAACCAUCUAUCCCAAUGCAAUCCUUUGUCACAAUGAGAUUCACACUUUUUCAAUUGAUAUCAAGUGAUUUGAUUGGUAUCGCAUACCUUUUAUGGAAAUUGAUGACAAAGGGGGAGAAGUUGGAACAAAGAUAUGAGCAUAGGAUAAGUUGGACAACAAAAGAAAUGUUUCAAGUGGGAAGACCAAAGAUGGACAUGGACAAGGGAGCAACAUUGAAGAAAAAGAUGGAUCAAAAUUCUUGAACAUAAGAAGCACACAAGUAGGGGGAGCAAGCUCAUGAACAUUGAUUAAUUGCAUUUGAUUUGUGCAUAUUCAUGUGCUUGCUUGCAUUGCAUAAGUUUCUAAAAAUCAAUAUGCAUGCUUGUGUGGUGUAUGCUAGUUAUAGAACUUGAUUGAUGAUAUGAUAACUAGCAUGCAUAGGUUGGUAGCUAGACUUGUGUUCUUCAAGUAAAAAAAAACUAGACCCUUGCUUAUAAUGUUGAUCUCACGGGGUUUCUAGUGUUUUUGUUGUCUAGCUACACAUGGUGCUAAGGAUGGUGUACAUUGAAUGAUAUCGAAUUUGGUAUCGAGCUACAAAGGUUUAUUCUAUACACCUUAGCACUUAGUAGGGUUUUAUGGUGCUUAUCCAAAUCUUGACAUAGAGCUUAAAUGUUGGAUAAGUAGCAUAAAAUCCAAAACAAGUUAAGCAAUUUACACUUGUGUGAAGUGCUAGCUUGAAAAAGCUUUAAUUUCCAUAUCUUUGUAGAGUUGUCAUCAAUUACCAAAAAGGGGGAGAUUGAAAGGUCCUUGUUUGGUUUUGGUAAUUGAGUGACAACUUAGGUGGACUAAUAGUGUUUAUGUGAGAUACACAGGAGAUUAGUCCACAGGUGAUGAUGUGAUGAUGGAGGAGCUCAUUGCAUAUGAGACAUGACAUGGAGUCAUGUGACCAAGGUGGAGAAGAUCAAGAUGAGGCUUGGCUCGAUGGACCGGUUGCAAGAGUGAAGGGCAAGUCGGAGGCUUUGAAGCGAGGGACCGCGUGUGACGGUGAAGCUUGAGCAAGACUUGGCACAGAUGGACCGAGGCAACGGUGAAGAGCAAGUGAGGUCAAGAUCGAUGAACCAAUACGGUCGCGUGAUGAUAUGAAGUGGAUCAUAUCAUUUGGUGAUUGGUUGGUGCAUGUGUUGCAUCAACAUUGGAGGAGAUGGAAUGGAAAGCGCAAGGCAAAGGUAUAACCUAGGGCUUUUCCAUUUCACCGGUCAUAGGUGUGUAGAGAAGUUUAUGACCGGAUUUAGGAUAGAUGGCCGUACUAUCAAGAGGGGCAAACUUGUUUGCAUAUCGGUCAUCUAGUGCCACUUGAGCGAUCUAACUUUGCAUAUGUGUUAGGAUCGAGUGGCGUGGCAAGUUGAGAGGCUAACUCCUUUGGUGAAAAUGUUUGUGAAAAUGCUAACACACUUGCACAUGAUGGUGUACACUUGGUGGUGUUGGCACAUUUGCAAAGGAGAAGGUGUUGAAGUUGAUUUUGUUCAACUUGGAGAAGAGAGAGAAGUCUUUCGGUGUUCUCCGGACAUUAGGAUGGCAUUUAGAUUGAAUACUGCUUUGAUCCAUUUUUAUUUGGAUUGAGUAUUCAUUUUUAUUGGAUAGUACUCUAAGUAAGCUUUCCAAAAUGUCCAAGAUCAUCGAAUUCGGAGUUCGGAGCUAAAAGUUAGCAACCUAACAAGUUGAACUGCAGGCACAGGACGCACUGUUCCAGCGUCCGGUGGCACAGGACGCUGAGCGUCCGGUGGCACAGGACGCACUGUUCCAGCGUCCGGUGGCACAGGACGCUGAGAGUCCGGUGCUGCUGCAAGUUUGAGUUGCUCUCUGCGUGUGAGUCCGGUGAGCACCGGACCGUCCGGUGUGAAGCAGCAGAGAGUCCGGUGCUACUGUUCCAGACGCGCGUGCGUGUGCUAGCCGUUGGCGGCAACGGUCAAGUUCAAACGGCUAGUGACACGUGGCUGUUUUUGGAGCACAGGACGCACUGUUCCAGCGUCCGGUGGCUCCCUGUGAGCGUCCGGUGCUCACGACUUUUGCCCAGUGAAGGGGCAACGGCUAGUUUAGCCUUUAGGGCUAUAAAUAGAAGUGGUGGCCGGCCUUGGCUGGUGCUGAGCACCCUUGGGACUUAGUGUCCAUGCUUGGGGAGUGCUAGGAAAGCCUCUAACUUACUUGUGCUUGCAAGAGUGCGAAUCAAUAGCGAGUGAGCGAUUCUAGUGCGUUGCAUUGAGAGAUUGCAUCGAGUGGCACUAGGUGUUCGUGUUGCAAGCCGGUGGUGCUUGUUACUCUUGGAGGUUGCCACCUCCUAGACGGCUUGGUGGCUUGUGACUCCGUCGAAGCACGCAAGGAGAUUGUGCGGUGCUCCGGAGAAGAGAUUGUGAGGGGUACGGUGCUCACCCCGCGGGGAUCGCGAAGAGCAACUCUAGUUGAGCGAGACGUGAAGAGCGACAAGUGGUCCGGCCGGGUCAAGUGCUAGAGCUUGUGGUAAGCACUCCACGUGGGAGAGUGUGACUUGCGGGUCACCACUAGCAAGAGGACCGGCGGCAACCUUGGAGCUUGUCUCAACGGGGACGUAGCUUGGUGGCAACCAAGUGAACCUCGGGAGAAAAUCAUCGUGUCAACUUUGUUCUUCCCGUUGGUUUGCAAGUCCCUAACACAAGCUUGUGUUUACAUUCAUAUACUUGUGCUUGUGUAGUUGCUCUUGUAAUUAGUUAGCUUGUGUAGCUUGCUAGUUACCUUCUUGCUUGUGUAGCUAGAAGUAGUUCCCCUUGCGUGACUAAUUUGGUUUGUGUAACCUUGUUAGUCACAUUGCUUAGUUUGUGUAGCUAAGUAAGUUGUGCUCUCUAAUUUGGCAUUAGUUGCCUUGUUAUUGAGCUUGCUAGUGAGCUUAGGCUUUGUGCGCUUUGCCUCACUAGUUUGUGUAGGAGCUCCCUCGGUUUGUAAAGUACUAGUUGCAUAGGUUUGUGUGACCUUGCUCCUAGAAUUGUUUAGGUGAGCUCUUGCUAAGGUGGCACCUUGCUUGCUUGUUUAGGAUCUUUUCAAGGUGCUAGAGAACUUAGAUAGAGGGGUGUAGUCUUGGCUAGACCGAUAGUUUUAAUUCCGCAUUUGUUUCGGUUAGCCGGCGUAGUAAAUUUUAUAAAGGACUAUUCACCCCCCUCUAGUCCGCCAUCUCGACCCUUCAAAGUGCAUGGGCUCUGUUGGUGGAAAACACCAACAGAACCAAAAGUGUAUUUGUUCUUCUCUAAUCUUAAGCAUAGUGAGCAAGACAAAGUUGAUGGAUCAUGAGUGUAGCGUUUGUUAGAUCAGAUGGCUCAACCUAAUGGAAAGAUAAUCUAUCUAUAUUUAUGUUUUGCUUAUAUCUUCCAAAGAUUGAAUGUACAACAUUUUAGCUUAUAUGAUUAGGAGUGUGGGAUCACGAAGGUAGUACUAAGAGCAAAUGUUAAAGGACUAAACAUGCUGAAUCAGUUGGGUUGGUUAAUUUGGAGUUGUAAAUCAUACAUGUUUGUCUCUUUAUUUAUGUGAAUGCAAGAACCAAGGAGAAGCUUAUAAAAGCGAUAGUCAAGUACCUUAAGAGGUUAUCUUAAUUGAAGAGUGAUGGUUCCAUCUCACCUUGUGGAAGCUUCCCAUUCGUAAUGGGUGUCUAUCUUGUUUAUGUACUUUGUCUCCUUCCAUGGAUCAUCUCUCUAUGAUGAAUGAGCUAUGUCUUCCUUGUACAAGUCGUUAAAUUUCAUGUGUCUCCUUUAUCUCCAAUGUGAGUUUGUAUCUCAGGACUUCCCAAAUUGAUAUUGAAAGUUUUUCUGCAGGGGUUAGUCCUACAAAAUAUACCAAUGUCUACACAAGCAGUUUUUAGUUCAAUAACCGAACUAGACUCCAUGUCUAAUCAGAUUAAGGAAGGUUGUUUAACCUAAGCACCAUGCUUAAUUUAAAAGCCAAUAGAAGUAUGUGCAGUACUUCCAAACUAACACUUACUAGGAUAAACAAAGGUAGCGUGAUGGCAUUUAUAGAGAUCUACUCAAGUGAAGAUAAAGUAGUGUGAUUAGUAUUUAAUCAAUUGAGCAUGUCUCAAAGGUAAGGACAACCAACAUAGUAACAUGACAAAAGAUGUUUUUAUGUGAAGUACUCCCCCAAGCUUGAAUUUUGCAAAAUUCAAGAUUGGAUGAAUUUAAAUCAAUGUUGCAUGAUGAUUGGUUGGACAUACCUUGUGCUUGUCAUUCCUCGGAUCUUCUUGCUCCAAUCCUAGAAGGGUUAGUGACAAGAAUACCCGAAGGAAUAUUUCUACAAUUAUCUUUAUAUGCUCCAAACACAAGGCAAUGUUGCAAAUAAUUAGAAGUUCAUGAUACGAUCUGAUCAGUGCUUGUUUUAGGACACUAAGCUUGUCCUUGGAAAACCAUCAAUUAACUCAACGAGAUCUACAAUAUUUAUUAUAGACAUAUGCAUCGACAACUGCCCUUUUAAAGUUUUUAUAAAUAGAAAGGAAGAGGGGGUUGGAGAUCUCAAAUGUGGUAAGGAUGGAGAGACCAAUUGAUUGGAGAGAUGUUUUAUAUGAGCAAGGACUGGGUGAUGUAUUUAUGAAAUAACUUCCAUGCUCACUGUUGUUUCUCUCAUUCUCAAAAUCCAAGGAUGAUUCUUCAUGAAUGCUUAAAAUUCCUCUAGGAUUGUCUCUCAAGUUUGUUUUAUCCAUCCAUUCAAUGGUGAUAGCACAUGGAUUUUUAAUGCCCUCUAGCCAUUGAUGUUGCUCUUCUCGAUGCUCCUUGUGGUCUUGGUGACUCUUAUGAAUGGGAUGUCUAGAUAGAUUCAUAGGAUUAUCGGGAGGUUCAAGAGAAAGAGCGUAGUAGAAAUUAUUAGGCUCAAGGAUGGGUUGGAUAGCCGAAACAUGGGAUUGGAAUGUUUGGAAAUUGGCUAUUGAAACUUCCUUUUCUUGUCUGGGAGAUGAUUCCUUCUCUAUCUCUAAGAUUUUUCUAUGAAGACUAGUACAAGAAGGAUGUCCAUGAAUGAAGAUAUACCUUCCUUUACUAAUAGAUAAAGAAAGAAAGACUCUACCAAAGGUUAUAUGAUUAAGACCAAUAUGAAAAUAUCGAGAAAAAACAUGGUCUUGUAGGGCUAGGUUUAAACCAGAAUUUAUAGAAAGAUUAACAGAUUCCCUAGGUGUAGCUAAAAGUGCAUUAUCUUCUUGAUUAAAAGAUAGGACCUCAGCUAUAGAAAAGGGUUGGUUUUGACCUAUUGCAAUCAACUCCGGACACAGAUCAUAAUUAGGGGUAGGACUUGUUGACUCCCAUGGUCUAUGGCUGGUCUCCGAAGGUGCAAAUAAUUCAAUAAUAGGUGUGGAAUUUAAGUUAUCCAUAAAGAUGAAAAAAGUAAAAAGAUAAAAGAAUAAAAGAAUAAAAGUGUAAUACAAGAUAAUAGCAAGAUUCAAAGUUAUCUCAGCAAACCGUCUUUCUCCCCGGCAACGGCGCCAGAAAUGCUUGUUGAUAUUUGGUAACGCAAUCAGGAAAUGAUCCGCAAGCGCACGGAUAUCGGUGAGCAUUUCACCCGGGAGGUUUUCCAGAGUAUCGUAUUUAUAUUUUUACCACUGGGAGAAAGAGUGCAUCUGACUAACCAAAUCUAUUGCUACUAUCCCUUUAGGCUACAAAGAAUGUUUCUCGAUGUGAGUGAUGUAUAGAGAAGACUGAACCGUAGUCUCGUUCUAACCUUGGUAAGGAUGAUCUAUUGUUCUAUUGGGGAAGCUUACGGAAUCUAGACACCACAAAGGAUGUUCGACCCGCACCUAUAAACCUACCCGUCAUGCUAACGAGAUGUGGGAUACAAAGGUAACUCGGAAAUGUCAUGUUCCUCGCUACUACCACGGUCCAGCUAGUCAGGGGAUAUCUAUGAGUACCCUAGCCUAAACACCACGUUUACGCUAGCAAUGAUUACUCUAAUACUCAACCGGAAUAGAUUAAAGUAAACUCAUAAACCAAAGAACAAAAAAACAAGAACUUACUAGAAUUAGAAGUCGAAUUACUGAUGAAUCCUAGGAGCAAGCCUCGGGUUAGAAGACUUGAUCCCGUAGGUACAACUCGGAGUAGACACCGACAGGCCGGCCUUCCUCCGAUCUACACCUCCACUCUAUCUCUCUCAAUCUAGUAGAAACUAGAAGAUCUAUUUCUACUCACAUUGGUUGCUAAGCCUAAAAAGAAAUUCUAUUUAGAGAAGAGGUUUUCCUUCGAGGGCACCCCUCAACUCUAUGAUAAAGUUGUCUCCUCCAGGGGCCAGGGGGUCUGCUUAUAUAGUUGUUGACGGUUCUUAAGUAUCAAUUUUAAUUAUCAAAUAAACAAGAGAAAGGACCAAUAUGCAACCAUCACCUAGAAUUAGGGUUUGAUCUGACAGAAUUCCACGAGUUUUGUUGUUUAUCUGUUUUUGCAGGGGGUUAUCAGGAAAUAAGGAAGAAAGGCCCACAUGUCGGGAUUACAUAGAGAUAUCAACGCAUCGCGUAAUUUUACAUCAUCUAGAAGACUCCAGAAGCCACGAGACCGAAGCGGAGGCAAAACUGGGCCAGGCCCAGGGCGCCCGCCCUGGUAGCCUGGGCGCCCGCCCCCCUGUUGGAGCCAAAUCAGGACUCUUUCGCUCGGGAUAUUCCACCGACCUAUUGGAUCAAGAAAAACAUAGUACCACCUCGCCUAUUGACCCAAAAACGCAUAGAAGGGGAGGACUAUAUAAGCAAGGCCCCCUGGCCCCUAGAGAGGACAUGAAGAAAUUAUCAUAGAGACUGAGGGGUGCCCUCGAAGGAAAACCUCUUCUCUAAUUAAUAUUUCUUUUUAGGCAUAGCAACCAAUGUAAGGUAGAAAUAGAUCUUCUAGUUUCUACUAGAUUGAGAGAGAUAGAGUGGAGGUGUAGAGUGGAGGAAGCCCGGCCUGUCGGUGUCUACUCCAAGCUUGUACCUGCGGGAUCAGGUUCUCCUAACCCGAAGCUUCCUCCUAGGAUUCUUCAGUAAUUCGACUUCUAAAUUCUAGUAAGUUCUUGUUUUAUUGUUCUUAUGGUUUAUGAGUUUACUUUAAUCUCUUCGCGUAGAGUUUAGAGUAAUCAUUGCUGGCGUAAACGUGGUGUUUAGGCUGGGGUACUCAUAGAUAUUCCCUGACUAGCUGGACCGUGGUAGUAGUGAGGAACGUGACAAUUCCGAGCUACCUUUGUAGAUCACAUCUCGUUAGCAGGAAGGAUAGGGUUUAUAGGUGCGGGUUGAACAUCCUUUGUGGUGUCUAGAUUCCGUUAGCCUCCCCAUUAGAACAGUAGAUCAUCCUUACCAAGGUUAGAAGGAGACUAUGGUUGCAGUCUUCUCUAUUUAUCACUCACAUCGAAAGACAUUCUUUGUGCCUAAAGGUUAGUAGUAAUAGACCGGUUAGUCAGAUGCACUCUUUCUCCUAGUGGUAAAAAAAUAAAUACGAUACUCUAGAUAAUUUCCCGGGUGAAGUGCUCACCGAUAUCCGUGCGCUUGCGGAUCAAUUCCUUAUUGCGUUCCCAAAUAUCAACAAGCAUUUCUGGCGCCGUUGCCGGGGAAGAAAGACGGUUGCUGAGAUAACCUGUGUCUUGCUACUAGCUUGUAUCUAUACUUUUAUCUUUUCUUAUCUUUUAUUUAUUUUCUUUACUUUUACCUUAUGGAAAACUAAAAUUCUAAAUCGAUCCAUGAGUCUGCAAUCCCUUUAGCAACUGACCUUUUACCAUGGGAAUCAUCACAGCCUAUCCAAACAUCCCAGUAUAAGUUAAGUUCUAGGUUGAUUGCCAUGAUUCAAAACCUAUCUUUUUUGGGAAAGGAAGACGAAAACCCUUACCUUCAUAUUAGAGAUUUUGAGCAAACAUGUGAUUGUCUUCGCAUUGAAGGCAUUUCUGAUAAGACUUUACGUUGGAAGCUUUUUCCUUUUUCUCUAAGGGGAGAAGCUAGACAAUGCUACAGUCAGAAGGUAAGUCAACAACAAGGUGAAUGGGGAGUUUUACGAGCCAACUUUUGCCCAGAUUUCUAUUCCCUUAUAGCCAACCUUAGACUCGAAGUCCUAUCUUUUAAACAAAAAGAUAAUGAAACUUUGGGAAAAUCCUAGAAACGGUUUUCUGAUCUUUUAGAAUCUGGUCCAAACCUUAAUUUUGAAGACCCUGUUAUUUUAUUUCACUUUUUUCGAGGUCUUCAGAAAAAUCACAAACAAAUGCUACAUACAAUGUCUAGAGGUUCUUUCUUUCGCAUCCCUGCUGAUGAAGCAAGAGUGAUCCUAGAUAGAAUCCUAGAAGCUGAGAUGGAUAAUACCCUUCAUGAUGAAACCUACGAAGCCAAAGUAGACACUCUGCCAAAUUCUUCAUCUACUUUAGCUAUCCCAAGUUCUGAGCCACAAGAGGAAGAAAUUCCACUACCGGACUUCAUGCUGGAUAUAGAAUCCGAUCUUUUUGCCGAUUUUGGAAAUAUUUCAAACUACCAUUCUAUUGACAAACCCCAAAACGGCCAAUUUAGCAUUUAUUUACCAAGUGAAUAUCAAUUGAGAGACCUUAUCUCAGUCAUGCGUAGCGAAUGGUUGGAGGAAUCAGAGCUUUCCUCUGAUGUGAUCCGUUUGGACACACCCUCUAUAACUAUACGCUGUGCUUAUAAUUUUGAUCGAUUUAAUGCUCUCUAUAAUCCUGUUGGGGGAUCAACAUUAUGUCUGAAUCCUUUGCACUUAAACUACUUAAAAAUCUUAUCUUAACCCCCACAACAAAGGUCAUAAAGGAAUCUUCGGGACGAUUAGUCCCCAGUCUUGGAAUUAUUAAUAUCCUACCUCUUACAGUAGAAGGCUCCAUGGUUCAUUUGAACUUCUAUAUCUUUGAUACAUGGGACUUCGACCUGUUGAUAGGACAACCUUUUAGAAGACUCCUUUAUGAAGGUCAUACUGGAAAGCUACACAUUUCUUUUGGAAAAACCUUUAAAAUCCCAAUAAUAAUUUCAUACUCCUUAAACAAUAAGGCCGAGUCAUAUCUUUUGCCUGAUCCUAUGGAGGAAGUAAAGGCUGCAUCUCUAGAGCUUUUAGAUGAACUAGACUUAGAAGACGAAACUCCUUUCUUCACAGAAGAAGAAGACGAACAUUCCGAGCCUGAACCCUUAGAUGAGUUUGCAGAAACACCUAGACCCCCCAUAGAACUUAAAACUUUACCACCCGGUCUUACCUAUGCUUUCCUAAACAAUAAUCCAGAGUUCCCUGUGAUCAUUAGCGAUAAACUCACUCAGGAUCAAACUCUACGAUUAAUGACCAUCCUUGAGAAACAUCACUCGGUUUUCGGCUACUCACUUCAAGAUCUUACAGGAAUCAGUCCUAUGAUUUGUACCCAUCGUAUUCCAACAGAUCCUUCUAUUACACCCUCUCGAGAACCCCAACGUAGACUUAAUAAUACUAUGAGAGAGGUAGUUAAAAAGGAAGUUAUAAAGUUGCUGCAUGCAGGGAUUAUAUAUCCUGUGCCGCACAGUGAGUGGGUGAGCCCAGUACAAGUUGUGCCCAAAAAGGGAGGCAUGACAGUUAUUAUGAAUGAAAAGAAUGAGCUAAUUUCGCAACGCACCGUCACAGGAUGGCGGAUGUGCAUAGACUAUAGAAAACUAAAUAAAGCCACGAGAAAGGAUCACUUUCCUUUACCUUUUAUAGAUGAGAUGCUAGAGCGGUUAGCAAACCAUUCGUUCUUUUGUUUCUUAGAUGGAUAUUCAGGGUAUCAUCAAAUCCCGAUCCAUCCCGAUGAUCAAAGCAAAACCACUUUUACAUGCCCUUAUGGAACUUAUGCUUAUCGUAGAAUGUCUUUUGGGUUAUGUAAUGCACCAGCUUCUUUUCAAAGAUGCAUGAUGUCUAUAUUUUCUGAUAUGAUUGAAGAGAUUAUGGAAGUUUUCAUGGAUGAUUUCUCUGUUUAUGGAAAAACUUUUGAUAGUUGUCUUGAAAACUUAAACAAGGUUUUGCAAAGAUGUGAACAAAAGCACUUAAUCCUUAAUUGGGAAAAAUGUCAUUUUAUGGUUAGAGAAGGAAUAGUGCUAGGACACUUAGUGUCUGAAAGAGGUAUUGAGGUAGACAAAGCUAAAAUUGAAGUAAUUGAACAACUACCUCCACCUGUGAAUAUAAAAGGAAUUCGAAGCUUUCUUGGCCAUGCUGGUUUUUAUCGUAGAUUCAUAAAAGAUUUUUCAUUUAUUGCUAGACCACUUACUCUUUUGCUAGCCAACGAUGCUCCUUUCGAAUUUGAUGAUGCAUGUUUAACAUCUUUCAAUUUAUUAAAGAAAGCACUCAUCUCUGCACCAAUCAUUCAACCCCCUGAUUGGUCAUUACCUUUUGAAAUUAUGUGUGAUGCUAGUGAUUAUGCUGUGGGGGCAGUAUUGGGACAAACUAAAGAUAAGAAGCAUCAUGCAAUUGCUUAUGCCAGUAAAACUUUGACAGGAGCUCAACUUAAUUAUGCAACCACUGAAAAAGAGCUCCUGGCUGUUGUCUUUGCCAUAGAUAAAUUUAGAUCUUAUUUAGUUGGAGCUAAAAUAAUUGUUUACACUGAUCAUGCUGCACUAAAAUAUUUGCUCACUAAAAAAGAUGCUAAACCUCGCCUGAUUAGAUGGAUCUUAUUACUCCAAGAAUUUGACUUAGAAAUAAAAGAUAAAAAGGGAGUAGAAAAUUCUGUUGCUGAUCACUUGUCUAGAAUGUAUUUUAAGAGUCCACAGGAAACCCCAUCAAUGAAUCACUCCGGGACGACAUGCUCUACGGGAUUAACAGGUCUGACCCCUGGUAUGCAGAUAUUGUUAAUUUUAUGGUUUCAGGGUAUGUACCACCAGGAGUAAACAAGAAGAAGCUUAUUCAAGAAAGUCGUUCACAUAUAUGGGAUGAGCCAUACCUCUUCCGAGUAUGCUCUGAUGGCUUACUCAGGAGAUGUGUGACCAGUGAGGAAGGAUGGAAGAUCAUCGACAGAUAUCAUUGAUCACCAUAUGGAGGUCACUAUGGAGCAUUCCGUACACAUUCAAAGAUCUGGCAGUGUGGAUUCUAUUGGCCUACAAUGUAUGAAGACACAAAGCAAUAUAUUAGAAGAUGUGGGCCAUGUCAAAGGCAUGGAAACAUAAAUACAAGGGAUGCAAUGCCACUCACCAACAACCUUCAGAUUGAGCUCUUUGAUGUCUGGGGAAUAGACUACAUGGGUCCAUUUCCUCCAUCAAAGAAGUGUGAGUACAUCUUGGUGGCAGUUGACUAUGUCUCCAAGUGGGUAGAAGCAUUACCUUGCAAGCAUGCAGACAACGUCAGUUCAAAGAGGGUGUUCGAAGAAAUUAUAUUUCCAAGAUUUGGAGUCCCCAGAGUAGUGAUAAGUGAUGGAGGAGCUCACUUCAUCGACAAACGCUUCAAGCAAUAUCUAUCAAGACAUGGAAUCCGUCACAACGUCGCUACCCCCUAUCAUCCUCAGACAAGUGGCCAAGCAGAGACUUCCAACAAACAAAUCAAGAAUAUUCUUCAGAAGACAGUAAGUGAAAUGGGAACAGCGUGGAAAGACAAGUUACCCGAUGCACUCUGGGCAUACCGGACAGCAUACAACACCCCAAUUGGAAUGUCUCCAUACCAACUGGUGUACGGGAAGACUUGCCAUCUACCUGUUGAACUAGAGUUCAAAGUGCACUGGGCCAUAAAGAGAUGGAAUAUGGACCUAGAUGUUGCUGGAGAUUAUAGAAGAAUGCAACUAUCAGAAUUGGAAGAAUGGCGAGAGAAAACAUAUCACAAUUCGAAGAUCUACAAAGAAAGAGUCAAGAGGUGGCAUGACAAGAGAAUCAAGAAGAAGGAGUUCACACCCGGAGAUAAGGUAUUACUUUUUAAUUCUAGGGUGAAGCCUUUCGGGCAUGGAAAACUCUGGAGCAAAUGGGAAGGACCAUUCAAGGUAAUCAAUUCAUCAUCCCACGGAGCUAUCACACUUCAAAACAGCGAAGGUACGUUAUUCAAGGUAAAUGGUCAACGUCUUAAAUUAUUUUUAGAGCCCAAUGAGGAAUUUGAAGAAAUAGACGUAGUCCAUUUUUACCUUCCCAUGGAGAAUUAGAGCCCGAUAUUUUUGGUCUGAUGGUUUUGGGUCAUAUAUAUAUUUUUCUAAAUAAUUUCGCAUCUACAAAUACGCUCGGAGAAGUGGGCCCACAGAGGGGCCAGAGAGAGGGUGGGCGCCCAGGUCAAGUGGGCGGGCGCCCAGCCCCUGUUCCCCCUCGGUCCCGACUUUCUCUGUUAUGGAAAAUGCACUUAGGGUGAUCCGAAUAAUCCCUCGGAUGGAAAGUUUCGCACGCACAUCGACGGGAGCAACCCGAACAACCCAUAGAGGCAUCCUUUUGACCCCUAUAUAAACAGACCCCUGACCUUAGUUUUCAAACACCAAGCCACCAAGCUUUCUCUCCUUCAAUUAGAGCUUGAUUAGCUCUCCUUCAAUUAAAAUUUUAUUAGUUCCUUGCUACUCCAAUGGCCAAGAAGUACCACGAUGAUUGGGAAGUCGUCCCCUUCAACCUCAACAUAGAGCCUGUGGAAGACCCCGAUGCCCGUGCUCUCGUCCCGGCCAACACAGAGCGACAGCUAGAAGCCAUGCCAUUACGCCAACGCAGCGCCACGAGACCGAAGCGGAGGCAAAACUGGGCCAGGCCCAGGGCGCCCGCCCUGGUAGCCUGGGCGCCCGCCCCCCUGUUGGAGCCAAAUCAGGACUCUUUCGCUCGAGAUAUUCCACCGACCUAUUGGAUCAAGAAAAACAUAGUACCACCUCGCCUAUCGACCCAAAAACGCAUAGAAGGGGAGGACUAUAUAAGCAACGCCCCCCUGGCCCCUGGAGAGGACAUGAAGAAAUUAUCAUAGAGACUGAGGGGUGCCCUCGAAGGAAAACCUCUUCUCUAAUUAAUAUUUCUUUUUAGGCUUAGCAACCAAUGUAAGGUAGAAAUAGAUCUUCUAGUUUCUACUAGAUUGAGAGAGAUAUUGUGGAGGUGUAGAGUGGAGGAAGCCCGGCCUGUCGGUGUCUACUCCAAGCUUGUACCUGCGGGAUCAAGUUCUCCUAACCCGAAGCUUGCUCCUAGGAUUCUUCAGUAAUUCAACUUCUAAAUUCUAGUAAGUUCUUGUUUUAUUGUUCUUAUGGUUUAUGAGUUUACUUUAAUCUCUUCGCGUAGAGUUUAGAGUAAUCAUUGCUGGCGUAAACGUGGUGUUUAGGCUGGGGUACUCAUAGAUAUUCCCUGACUAGCUGGACCGUGGUAGUAGUGAGGAACGUGACAAUUCUGAGCUACCUUUGUAGAUCAUAUCUCGUUAGCAGGAAGGAUAGGGUUUAUAGGUGCGGUUUGAACAUCCUUUGUGGUGUCUAGAUUCCGUUAGCCUCCCCAUUAGAACAGUAGAUCAUCCUUACCAAGGUUAGAAGGAGACUACGGUUGCAGUCUUCUCUAUUUAUCACUCACAUCGAAAGACAUUCUUUGUGCCUAAAGGUUAGUAGUAAUAGACUGGUUAGUCAGAUGCACUCUUUCUCCUAGUGGUAAAAAAAUAAAUACGAUACUCUGGAUAAUUUCCCGGGUGAAGUGCUCACCGAUAUCUGUGCGCUUGCGGAUCAAUUCCUUAUUGCGUUCCCAAAUAUCAACAAUAGUCCUCCUCCUCUAUGCAUUUUUGGGUCAGCAGGCGAUGUGGUACUACGUUAUCCUUGAUCCUUUAGGUCGGUGGAACGUCGUGUGCGAAAAAAAGGGCCGAUUGGCAUCCAGAGGGGGGCGGGCGCCCAGGUCCUCAGGGCGGGUGCCCUGGGCCUGGCCCCUUUCGGCUUCUGCUUUCUUCCCGUGGCUUCUCGAGUCUUCUAGUUGGUAGAAAAUUGUGCGGUGCGUUGAUAUCUCUAUGUAAUCCCGACGUGUGCGCCUUUCUUCCUUAUUUCCUGAUAACCCCCUACAGAAAUAGACAACCACCAAAACUCGUGGAAUUCUGUCAGAUAAAACCCUAAGUCUGGGUGUUGGUUGCAUUUGGAUCCUUUUCUUUAUUUAUUUGAUGAUUAUAUUUGGUACUUAAGGACCGUCAACGGACAUAUUGAUCUUGAUGAUGAAUUGGUCCCACCGGGCGUGCCAAAAGAUGUGUUGAUGCAAAAGUGGAUCUGCAAACACAAAGGGCUAAUACCCUAUUCAAUAUUAGGGCGUGCCAGCCGAUUUGACCUUACAAUCGACAAAGGUGGUAACUCGAAUACUUUGGUCCCGACAACAACGAUGCGCCCAGAUGUCACGGCCAAGAGGUAUUCAAUCGGAACUCGAGAACUCGUCGAGUAUGACUCGAAGAAUUCUUAAGAACUCGUAAGUAAAAGGAAAAAAAUAUGCGGGUUGACGAAGUCAUCGAGAAAGUAGAUGCAAAAGUAUAUGUAAAGCUUGUAUUUGAUAUUGAUUGAGUUUUUUCUUACAUCGCUACUAAGCCUAUAUUUAUACUCUGUCCUUAAGAGUUACAACCAGAUACGACUAGGAUCCUAAUUCCAAAUCAAACAAAACUCAUACAUAAAAUAAACUCUAACAAUUAUGGAAAACAACAAUUUAUCAAUCCUGGAUGAUCGGCACACCACCAUUGUCCCCUGACGCCUCCUAUGUCUUCCUUCAUCAUCAUCGGUCAUCGGCAUCAAUCAACCACUGUUCCUGAACUUAACCAUAUCUUCCUUCUGUCAUUGGUAUCAUAGGUCAUCAGCAACUCCCUUAUCGGUCAAGCAUUACUUUUCUAGCUGCCAAUCCAAGCUUCAUUAACUUUCCUGAUACGUAUCAAAAACGGUGUCAACAGAAACUUUUCAGUUGGAACUAACGGUUCCUCGCCUAGGAGUGUUAAUGCUAAAUUCUUAGACAUUAUAGAUGCUCCUUGUUGACACUUGCUAACACAACUUUAAUACUAGGUUGUCAUCCCCAGCAUGGCACUAGAGUGUACUAUAGUAUUUAUUCGCACACAGAUAAAUCCGCAAGCGCACGGAUACCGUUGUAGCUUUUACCCGGUUAAAGGUUUUAUCGUAUCCACAUAGAAACAGGAGAACUGAUCUACGCUCUAACUUAACCUAGAUAGAUAGGUAGGUGUAAAUAGAAAAGAUAGUAGAAUUGAGUAAGAACCAUCAAUUUAUGUCAGCGAAGUGGUUUCCCUUCCAACGCUGACCUAUAUCAAGAUCAACUCAACGAGAUCUGCGAUAUUUAUUAUAGACAUAUGCAUCGACAACUGCCCUUUUAAAGUUUUUAUAAAUAGAAAGGAAGAGGGGGUUGUAGAUCUCAAAUAUGGUGAUGUUGGAGAGACCAAUAGAUUGGGAAGAUAUUGCAUAUGACCAUGGAGUAAAUAAAGUCUAAUUCUACUUGUGCUCUUUUGAUGGAUACAUACCUUUCUUGCUCUUUUGAAACUUUUUGAGGAGAAUGAGAUGCUCUAUAUUUUCUUUUUCUUUUCUCUCAGGUGGGUAUCUUGUACCCCUAAUUCUACUGUCGGACACUUGUCCAUUUUUACCUCUCGUCUCACUUUUUCUUUUCUUUCGAGGUUCCGGGCACUUGCCCAUUUUUAUUUCCUCGUAUCUUCUCUUUUUUUAGAGUACUCACCUCUUUAAAUAAUGUAGCAAGUGGUAGUAACCGAAAUAUCUUGAGCAUUUAUUUCACAGGGGAAAACAGAAAUAGGACAAUGUUUUUGGCUAUUCUCUCCCGGAUUAGGAGUAGAAUAUUUUUGGGUAAAUCUGGAUAUGGAAAUGAGUGGAUGUAUGUGGAUGCGUACUUCCAGAGUAGAAGCAGCAUGUGUGAGUGAACGUGCAAGUGAAUCUUGAUUUAACCACAUGAUAAGCUCCUAAGGGUCUACACAGCUUGACCACACUUAAUGCUCAUAAGCAGUAAAAAGUAAAUGAAUGGUUCAUAGUCUAAUAAGCAUGUAUAUAUGGCUGUGAUACGAAUUUAAACUCUCAUCAUACAGGAACUCAUCAUGUUAUAUUUUAAAGAUUUUCAAAGAUAAAAUUCUCCAGAAUUAUAGCAUCUCUAGGAACAGAUAAACAGCAGCUCAACCUUCCCAUAUCAUAUCCGUUAACAACUUAGACUUUAGAUCAAGUACUCUUCCCACAAGUUCAGGUUUAGAGCAAAUCUUAAUUAAUAAUAGUCAUGUCUAAACUUGAGAGAGAUUUCAAUUUUGAGAACUAGUCAUGGCAGAGCAACUAUUCAUCAUUUCCAUGUGAGAGCUUAUCAUGAGGGUUCAUAACAAACUUUAUUUAUUUAUUUAUUUAGCAAACUAAGCAAAUAUAUAUAUAUAAGCACAAAAUCUUUAUUUGGGUUUUUAUGAUUAUGCAUCUUUUUAUUAUUUGAGUAAAGUAUAAACAUGAGUAGAACACUUAGCUGGAUAAAUGGGGGUGCUCUCCGCCAAGCUGGAUUUUGACGUAAUUUCUUCUGAUGUAGCUAGCAAGUGGCGGAGGUGUAUUUGAAUGUCGACAGCACCAUGACAGCGAUUAGGAUGUCCUUCGUCUGCUAGUCUUCUUUGAUCCUUGAAUUCAGUGGAGCUCAAAUAGACAACAAAGCUUUGUGGAACUGGUUAAGUGUUAGCAUAAAAAUCUCUUUGCCUUUAUCAUGUUAAGCCUCCUCAAUAAAUGUUACUUUCUUUGGUAGGAUCAUAAAUUUAUUUUUAUAUUUUCAUUUUUAUAGGACAGGAAUAUUUUUAUUUUUACGCCACCAAAUGAAUAUACUUAUGGGUUUUAUGCCACGAGCAUACUUAUAUAGGGCUUACUGUUUUUAACAUUUCUAAUUUCUAUUCAAGAUAGCAUAAUUAACUAACAGGCUAUUUAAGGAAAAUAAAUAAUUUAAGAAAAAAGAAAAUGCAUAAAGGAUAAAUAUGGAUAACUACUGAUUUUACCUUCCGGCGAGGGUUCGAUGUUUUAAGUCUUCUUAACAAGACUUCUCACCAUGUUCAUUCUUUAGUUGCGUCAUUUGAUUCAGGUGUGGACCUUGACGUCUGCACCUCUUGAUACGGUGUCACCCAUGUUCUUCGUUUGCCCAGCAGUUCGAAGUGCGGCAUUGGUAGCAUCCUACUCAGUGUGUUUGUGCUCGUAGAUCUAGGUCCUUCACUUGGUGGAAUUUGGGAGUUGUAAAACUCCACCAUGUUUUGCUCCAAGUGUACCUGCUCAUAGAGACAAGGCAAAGAUCAAGUGCAUGGGCCCUGCUGGUGGAAAACGCCAACAUAACCAAAAGUGUAUUUGUUCUUCUCCAACCUUAAGCACAGUGAGCAAGACAAAGUUGAUGGAUGUUGGGUAUUUUAAACGCAAACAAAAAAAUCCGCAAGCGCACGGAUACCGAUGUAGCUUUCACCCAGAAGUAUUCCAGUGUAUCGAUUUUCCACAGAGAACGUGAGUGUACUAAUUAAGAUCCAAGAUCGCCCAAGGAUAACUAUAUAAUUAUUUUUGGUAGGAAGAGAGGAAGUUUCCUGAGAGUUCUCUAGUUGAUCUAAGAAUCAAGAAUUACUUCAAGAUUAUCUAUAUCGGGACAUCAGAGCACUAACCACAGAAAGAGAUGAGAAGGGGGCUAGGAAGGUCUGACUACGGUCCUACAAACACCGAUCCGAACGUGGUGGAAUACGUCGACCGUUAGGGCUGUCACUACCCUAAGGCUACCACAACAAUCCGCAGGAUUGGGUGCAAUUCCAGGUAAUCGCAAGACUAAACAUCACGUCUAAUCUAUUAAUUACUACUCUAGCGUUAUAAAGACUAGAGCACUUGAUGCAAGCGGGAAUCCAAUAAAUAACUUGAAUGUAAAUAAAAGUAAUUAAAGAACUCAGGAAUUGUGAAUUGAAGAACCUGGAGAACGAUGAAGAACGAACCAGUUGCUGCAAAAGUAUAAUGUUGAGGAAGAUCCGACAGAUCCGGCUCCUCCUCCUCUGCUCUCCUCUUCUCUCACCCUAUUUUCUAGAUUACAACUAGAACUAACUAGAACUAGAACUAGAGGAACUAGAACUAGAACUAGAUGAACUAGAACUAGAUCUAGAUGAACUAGAGGUAGAACUAGAAGAACUAGAGGGAUCCUCUCUACUUGGUUGAAGAAUUGAAACCCUAGCUUUGAUUCUGUAGAAGAGGUAUGAUCUCCAGGGGCCAGGGGAGUCUGGUUUUAUAGUCCCUUCAAGUGAAUCUGGGCCGUCGGAUCAAACCGACAUUGAUCGUGUGGUUUUCCUUGAUCCUUUAGGUCGGUGGAGUGUUGUCCCUGAAUUGGACUCUGUUUGGUCCAGGGGGGAGGGCGGGCGCCCAGUAAGGGAGGGCGGGCGCCCAGUGCCCGGCUCCGUUACAUCUCCCGUUCGGUCCCGUGGCUUCUGGAGUCUUCUAGAUGAUAGAAAAUUGCGCGGCACGUUAAUAUCUCUAUGUAAACCCGACGUGUGGGCCUUUUUUCCGUAUUUCCUGAUAACUCCCUGCAGAAAUAGACAAACACCAAAACUUGUGGAAUUCUGUCAGAUAAAACCCUAAGUCUAGGUGUUGGUUGCAUUUGGAUCCUUUUCUAUGAUUAGUUGAUGGUUAAAUGUGAGCAUUAAGGACCGUCAACAAGCUCCCCCAAGCUUAACCUUUGCUCGUCCCUGAGCAAAGAUGAACUCAAGAGCUUCUGCAGUGGUUUCAUAACUUAAAGAUACACAUGCGUUUAAACAAGAUCUCAUCUCUAGGUUAGGGUAAACUGUUAAGAUUUAAAACUUACUCAUUUUACCUUCCACCAUGGGGCUUGCAACCGUCACUUGUGUCUUGAGCAGUUAAAAGAUAGAACGGUCAAGUCAAGCACCAUGUCUCUUGUUCUUUGAUCAACUAUAGCUCUAGAGUUUUUGCAGAUUUUCAAAUAAAACUCAGAGAUUCCUUGUAUGACUCUCUCUAGUCUCUCAUUUGUGGUAUUUCUGGAUCUUUACCAAGGCAGUAAUGGUAUAUGCCUUCUCUCAAAGUAUGUGGUAUUUGUGGUAUAAGGCAUAGUGACAUUGCCUUCUCUCUCACCCUACUCUAAUAAGGCUUUUGAUAUCUGGAGCUCAGAGGUGGGAGACAGCUAAUACAUACUUACAAGACAUUUAUUGCAUAGUCAAACCAUGGAUCCAAAAGAACAAGUCAAUAAGUCAAAUCAAGAUGUGCAUGUGUGGCGAAUGAAUGGUGUAUGGUGAUGAUGGUGAUAAUAAUGGUGAAAGUCUAAUUCUUCUUAUGCUCUUUUGAGGGGAUACAUACCUUUCUUGCACUUUUGAAACUUUUUGAGGAGAAUGAGAUGCUCUAUAUUAUUAUUUUUUUUUCUUUUCUCUCAGGUGGGUAUCUUGUACCCCUAAUUCUACUGUCGGACACUUGUCCAUUUUUACCUCUCGUCUCACUUUUUCUUCUUUUUUUUCUUUCAAGGUUCCGGGCACUUGCCCCUUUUUAUUUCCUCGUAUUCUUCUUUUUCUUCUCUUUUUUUCUUUAGAGCACUCGUCUCAUGAGAUAAUAUAGCAAGUGGUAGUAACAAGAUAACUUGAGCAUUUAUUUCACAGGGAAAAAAUAAAAAUAUUUUUGGCUAUUCUCUCCCGGAUUAGGAGUAGAAUAUUUUUGGGUGGUUCUGGAGAUGGAAAUGGGUAUAUGUGGAUGGUACUUCCAGAGUAGAAGUAGCAUGUAUGAGUGAACGUGCAAGUGAAUCUUGACUUAACCACAUGACAAGCUCCUAAGGGUCUACACAGCUUGACCACACUCAAUGCUCAUAAGCAGUAAAAAGUAAAUGUGUGGCUCAAAGUCUAGCAAGCAUGUAUAUAUGGCUGUGGUAGGAAUUUAAACUCUCAUCAUACAGGAACUCAUCAUGUGAUAUUUUAAAGAUUUUCAAAGAUAAAAUUCUCCAGAAUUCUAGCAUCUCUAGGAACAGAUAAACAACAGCUCAACCUUCCCAUAUCAUAUCCGUUAACGACUUAGACUUCAGAUCAAGUACUCUUCCCACAAGUUCAGGUUUAGAGCAAAUCUUAAUUAAUAACUGUGAUGCCUAAACUUGAGAGAGAUUUCAAUUUUGAGAACUAGUCAUGGCAGAGCAACUAUUCAUCUUUCCAUGUGAGAGCUUAUCAUGAGGGUUCAUAGCAAAUUUUAUUUAUUUAUUUAUUUAGCAAACUAAGCAAAGAUAUAUAUAUAUGCACAAAAUCUUUAUUUCGGUUUUUAUGAUUAUGCAUCUUUUUAUUAUUUGAGUAAAAUAUAAACGUGAGUGGAAUACUUAGCUGGAUAAAUGGAGGUGCUCUCCCCCAAGCUGAAUUUUGACGUAAUUCCUUUUGAUGUAGCAGGUGGCGGAGGUGUAUUUGAAUGUCGGCAGCACCCUGACAUUGAUUAGGAUGUCCUCCGUCUACUAGUCUUCUUUGAUGCUUUAAUUCUGUGGAGCUCAAAUAGACAACAAAGCUUUGUGGAACUAGUUAAGUGUUAGCAUAAAUAUCUAGCCUUUAUCAUGUUGAGCCUCCUCAAUAAAUGUUACUCUCUUUAGUAGGAUCAUAAAUUUAUUUUUAUAUUUUCAUUUUUAUAGGACAGGAAUAUAUAUAUUUAUUUUUACGCCACCAAAGUAAAUGUACUUAUGGGUUUUAUGCCAUGAGCAUACUCACAUGGGGCUUACUAUUUUUAACAUUUUUAUUUUCUUUUCAAGAUAGCUUGAACCUGAUUAACUAAGCAAACUAUUUUAAAUAAUUGAAAGGAAAAAGAUAACUACCAAGUUUACCUUUUGGCAAGGCGUUCGGUGUUUUUACGUCCUCCGAACGGGACUCUCCGUUUUCUUAGUCGUCCUGGAAUUCGCUGGAUGGCGUAGUCGGUGGUUCCGGCGGUGCCUGCUCUUCGUGUAUAACUAUCUUCUCUCUCUACACCUGCCUCGGUGCUACGGUCUCCUCAGGACAGUUCUAUUCAAGUUGUAUAUCUUCAGACCUUACAACUUCUCCUUCAUAGUCUACCCAUCCGUCCUUGAUGAUUUGCCUCCUCUGGUUGCGGUUGCGUCGUCUUCUUCUUGUCCUGACCUGCUUAGAGUCUUUAACUAUAUAGUUAGAGUCAGUAAAAUAGCGGCGUACCUUCUCAGAGGGGAAAUGCAUGUGGACUUCUCUGGUUCCAAUGUAGAUGAUUGCUUUAACGGUGUUGAGGAACAGUCUUCCAAGGAUGACGGGUGGAUUGUACUCGUCUUCUCCCAUGACAAUAACCUUAAAAUCAUCUGGAGCUGAAUGUAUGUUGGUUGUAGGGGCAUGGUUCCAUGCAGGAGUUGAUAAGUGACUGCGGCCAUUAUGUUGAUGUUAGAUCCGGUGUCGUAGAGUGUCUUCUGAAAAGAAUAUCCAUUGAUUGUGCACUCGAUGCUUGGAACACCAGGGUCGUCCUUCUUGAUCAAGAAAGGUGACUUGAGUUGACGAUCUUGACCUCCUUGAGCUGCAGCGACCAUCUUAGCUGACUCGGUACACAUUUGCUUGUUCCUAUUCCUCCUGUUGGUCCUCUUCCUUGGUUCAUGUCGGGAUUGCUCUGAGAUUUGUAUAGUCUUGUUCUUGAAGGAAAACAUCUCCUUCCUUCCCUUCAUGUAGAAACUGAUCUUGGCAGCACUAGCGUAGAUGAUAGCUCCCGAGGUGUUCAGGAAUGGCCUCCCUAGAAUGAUGGGUGCCCUCUCAUCAGUACCAGUCUCUAUCACUACGAAGUCUGCUGGGACGUACAAGGUACCAACUCGGACGUAGAGGUUCUUCAAUAUUCCCCUAGGCAUAAUGUUGACGCUCGAGCCAAAGUUGUAGAGUGCUUCUAGGAAGUCCACCAUGCCGAUGGAGAUCGGGAUGACGGGGCGUCCUGGAUUGUCUCUCUUGACCGGCAGAAGGUCAGUAAUUACUUCCACAACGGGGUUACUCCAGUAGUUACGUCCUCAAGCAUCUCAGGGCAGUGAUUGCCUGAGUAACCAGUAUCUCUAGUGUGUUUGUGCUCGUAGAUCUAGGUUCUUCACUUGGUGGAGUCUGGGAGUUAUAAAAGUCCUUCAUAUUUUGCUCGAAGUAUACCUGCUCAUAGAGACAAGGCAGAGAUCAAGUGCAUGGGCCCUGUUGGUGGAAAACACCAACAGAACCAAAAGUGUAUUUAUUCUUCUCUAACCUUAAGCAUAGUGAGCAAGACAAAGUUGUUGGAUAAUAAGAUCAUGAGUGUAGCAUUUAAAACAUUUGUCAGAUCAGAUCGCUUAACCUAAUGGAAAGAUAAUCAAUCUAUAUUUAUGUUGUUUUUUAUAUAUCUUCCAUAGAUUGAGUGUGCAAUAUUUUAGUUCAUAUGAUUAGGAGUGUGGGAUCACAAAGGUGGAAGGACUAAACAUAUUGAAUCGAUCGGGUUGGUUAAUCUAGAGUAGUAAAUCAUACAUGUUUGUCUCUUUUAUUCAUGUGAACGCCAGAACCAAGGAGAAGCUUAUAGAAGUGAUAGUCAAGUACCUUAAGAUGUUACCUUACUUGAAGAGUGAUGGUACAGUAUCACCUUGUGGAAGCUUUCCUUUCUUCGCGGUUGUGCAUCGUGUUUGUGGCACCCUCCAUGGAUCAUCUCUUGUGAGCUUUGCAUUCCUUGUGUAAAUUGUUAACCUUCAUGUGUCUCUCUAUUUGUCUCCAAUGUGAGUUUAUCUCAAGACUUCCCAGGUCGAUAUUGAAAGUUUUCCUGCAGGGGUUAGUCCAAUAAAAUAUCCAAUAUCUACUAUAGCAUACUAUCGGCUCAAAAAUCAAUCUAGACACCAUGUCUAAUUUGAUUUAGGAGGGAAUUUUAACCUAAGCAUCAUGCUUAAUUUAAAAUCCUUUGGAAGUAAGAGCAUCAUUCCUAAACUAAGCACCAUGCUUAAUUAAGAGAUAAAUGAAACUACUCCAAACCUAGACAUAUACUAAAGCAAAUAAAGGUAGCAUGAGAGCAUUUAUAGAGAUCUACUCAAGUGGAGAUAAAGUAGUGUGAUUAGUAUUUAACAAAUUGAGCAUGUCUCAAAGGUAGGGACAACCAACAUAGCAACAUGGCAAAGGAUGUUUUUAUGUAAAGUAUUCCCCCAAGCUUGAAUUUUGCAAAAUUCAAGUUUGGAUUAAUUUAAUUCAAUGUUGUAUGAUGAUUGGUUGGACAUACCUUGUGCUUGUCAUUCAUCUGAUCUUCUUGUUCCAAUCCUGGAAUGGUUAGUGACAAGAAUACCCGAAGGAAUUUUUCUACAAUUAUCUUUAUAUGCUCAAUACACAAGGCAAUGUUGCAAAUAAUUAAAAGCUCAUGUUACAAUUUGAUCAGUGCUUGUUUUAGGACACUAAGCUUGUCCUUGGGAAACCAUUAAUUUAAGUCGGCGAAGUGGUUUCCCCUCCAACGCUGACCUAUAUCGAGAUCUGCAAUAUUUAAUAUAGACAUAUGCAUCGACAACCGCCCUUUUAAAGUUUUUAUGAAUAGAAAGGAAGAGGGGGUUGGAGAUCUCGAAUGUGGUGAUGUUGGAGAGACCAAUGGAUUGUGAAGAUGUUGCAUAUGAGCAUGGAGUAAAUGAAGUGGCUAUGAAAUAAAUUCCAUGCUCAUUAAUGCUUAGAGUGAAAUCCAUGUGGUAUGGUGAAAGUGAUAAGGUGAGUGUGGUAAAAAAGGAAAAGAAAAAGGAUACACGGAUGACUUGGUUCGAAACUAGCACAGCUACCGUUCCCCGGCAACGGCGCUAGAAAGCUUGUUGGGUAUUUUAAACGCAAACAAAAAAAUCCGCAAGCGCACGGAUACUGAUGUAGCUUUCACCCGGGAGUAUUCCAGAGUAUCGAUUUUUCACAGAGAAUGUGAGUGUACUAAUUAAGAUCCAAGAUCGCCCAACGAUAACUAUAUAAUUAUUUUUGGUGGGAAGAGAGGAAGUUUCCUGAGAGUUCUCUAGUUGAUCUAAGAAUCAAGAAUUACUUCAAGAUUAUCUAUAUCGGGACAUCAGAGCACUAACCACAGAAAGAGAUGAGAAGGGGGCUAGGAAGGUCUGACUACGGUCCUACAAACACCGAUCCGAACGUGGUGGAAUACGUCGACCGUUAGGGCUGUCACUACCCUAAGGCUACCACAACAAUCCGCAGGAUUGGGUGCAAUUCCAGGUAAUCGCAAGACUAAACAUCACGUCUAAUCUAUUAAUUACUACUCUAGCGUUAUAAAGACUAGAGCACUUGAUGCAAGCGGGAAUCCAAUAAAUAACUUGAAUGUAAAUAAAAGUAAUUAAAGAACUCAGGAAUUGUGAAUUGAAGAACCUGGAGAACGAUGAAGAACGAACCAGUUGCUGCAAAAGUAUAAUGUUGAGGAAGAUCCGACAGAUCCGGCUCCUCCUCCUCUGCUCUCCUCUUCUCUCACCCUAUUUUCUAGAUUACAACUAGAACUAACUAGAACUAGAACUAGAGGAACUAGAACUAGAACUAGAUGAACUAGAACUAGAUCUAGAUGAACUAGAGGUAGAACUAGAAGAACUAGAGGGAUCCUCUCUGCUUGGUUGAAGAAUUGAAACCCUAGCUUUGAUUCUGUAGAAGAGGUAUGAUCUCCAGGGGCCAGGGAGGUCUGGUUUUAUAGUCCCUUCAAGUGAAUCUGGGCCGUCGGAUCAAACCGACAUUGAUCGUGUGGUUUUCCUUGAUCCUUUAGGUCGGUGGAGUGUUGUCCCCGAAUUGGACUCUGUUUGGUCCAGGGGGGAGGGCGGGCGCCCAGUAAGGGACGGCGGGCGCCCAGUGCCCGGCUCCGUUACGUCUCCCGUUCGGUCCCGUGGCUUCUGGAGUCUUCUAGAUGAUAGAAAAUUGCGCGGCACGUUAAUAUCUCUAUGUAAACCCGACGUGUGGGCCUUUUUUCCGUAUUUCCUGAUAACUCCCUGCAGAAAUAGACAAACACCAAAACUUGUGGAAUUCUGUCAGAUAAAACCCUAAGUCUAGGUGUUGGUUGCAUUUGGAUCCUUUUCUAUGAUUAGUUGAUGGUUAAAUGUGAGCAUUAAGGACCGUCAACAAUGGAUACUAAGAUCAUGAGUGUAGCAUUUAAAACAAUUGUCAGAUCAAAUCGCUCAACCUAAUGGAAAGAUAAUCUAUCUAUGUAUAUGUUUUUUUAUAUAUCUUUCAAAGAUUGAGUGUACAUCAUUUUAGCUAAUAUGAUUAGGAGUGUAGGAUCACAAAGGUGGAAGGACUAAACAUGUUGAAUCGAUUGGGUUGGUUAACCUAGAGUUGUAAAUCAUACAUGUUUGUCUCUUUUAUUCAUAUGAACGCCAGAACUGAGGAGAAGCUUAUAAAAGUGAUAGUCAAGUACCUUAAGAUGUUACCUUACUUGAAGAGUGAUGGUACAGUAUCACCUUGUGGAAGCUUUCUUUCUUAGCGGUUGUGCAUCGUGUUUGUGGCACCCUCCAUGGGUCAUCUCUCUAUGAUGAAUGAGCUAUGUUCUUUUUGUGCAAAUCGUUACACUUCAUGUGUCUCUCUCUCUUCAUCUUUGAUGUGAGUUUAUCUCAGGACUUCCCAUAUCGAUAUUGAAAGUUUUUUCUGCAGGGGUUAUUCCGACAAAAUAUACCAAUGUCUACACAAGCAGUUUUUAGUUCAAUAACCGAACUAGACUCCAUGUCUAAUCAGAUUAAGGAAGGCUAUUUAACCUAAGCACCAUGCUUAAUUUAAAAGCCAAUAGAAGUAUGUGCAGUACUUCCAAACUAACACUUACUAGGAUAAACAAAGGUAGCGUGAUGACAUUUAUAGAGAUCUACUCAAGUGGAGAUGAAGUAGUGUGAUUAGUAUUUAACAAAUUGAGCAUGUCUCAAAGGUAGAGACAACCAACAUACCAACAUUGCAAAGGAUGUUUUUAUGUAAAGUACUCCCCAAGCUUGAAUUUUGCAAAAUUCAAGUUUGGAUGAAUUUAAUUCAGUGUUGCAUGAUGAUUGGUUGGUCAUACCUUGUGCUUGUCAUUCAUCCGAUCUUCUUGCUCCAAUCCUAGAAAGGUUAGUGACAAGAAUACCCAAAGGAAUAUUUUCACAAUUAUCUUUAUAUGCUCAAUACACAAGGUAAUGUUGUAAAUAAUUAAAAGCUCAUGUUAUGAUCUGAUGAGUGCUUAUUUUAGGACACUAAGCUUGUCCUUGGGAAACCAUCAAUUUAUGUCCGCGAAGUGGUUUCCCUUCCAACGCUGACCUAUAUCAAGAUCAACUCAACGAGAUCUGCAAUAUUUAUUAUAGACAUAUGCAUCAACAACCGCCCUUUUAAAGUUUUUAUAAAUAAAAAGGAAGAGAGGGUUGUAGAUCUCAAAUGUGGUGAUGUUGGAGAGACCAAUAGAUUGGGAAGAUGUUGCAUAUGAGCAUGGAGUAAAUGAAGUGGUUAUGAAAUAAAUUCCAUGCUCAUUAAUGUUAUCUUCAUCUCCAAUCUGAAUGUUCGGGGUUUCUCCUGGAUUGGUCUCACCUAUGUCCUCUUCUCUAGUUGGAUGAAUCUCAUCUUCAAAGGGAGUCAAGAGCUCACCAUUUGAAAUUGAGCCAAAGUCAGAAUCCAUUAAGGCUUCUUCCUUAUCCAUCCAUUCUACACACUCUAGCCAUUUAGAACUUGUGAUCAGGAAAGGGGAGGUGUUAGAAUUUUCUAUAUGGCUUAGCUCUCCUUCUAUGACAUUACUUGACAUGUCAUCCUCAUGGUCUUUAUGACUCCUAUGGUUUGAUCGUCUUGAUAUAUUGUUAGGAUCAUCAUGAGACUUAAAAGGAGAGGGAUAAGAGGGGUCUCUAAGGUCAAGGAUGGAUUUAGAAUUUGUGAACAUGGAAGGGGAGCAGAUAGAAUCUUCUAUAUGGUUUAGCUCUCCUUCACUUGAUAUGUCAUCCUCGACUUCUUCAUAAUAGGAACCAGGACAUUCUCUAAGAUAACCAUCAUUGCAAUGAUUUGAAUUAUCUAUGCUUGAAAGUCUCUUAUGGAACCAAAGUCUAAACCAUCAGUAUCUGAAAGAUUUAAGGUUGGAAUUCCUUCCUCCCUUGGGAGAAUUUUGGGGUAUUGAUGGUUUAGGAUCGAUAGCUAAAGUUUGGGAUUGAAGUGUUUGUGAUCUGGCUAUCGAAACUUCUUCUUCUUGUCUAGGAACUGGUUCUUUCUCUUUCUCAUGGAUAAAAAAGGUAGGAAACUUUUCACUUAAUGAAUCAAUUAAAUCUCUAGCUUCACUAGCAGGCAGGUGAUAGAAGGAUCCUCUAGAGGCCGUAUUCAAGGUUUUCUUAUUUUCCCUACUAAGGCCCUCAAAAAAGUGAAUGAGAAGAACUUCUUCUGGAAUAGAAAGCUUUGGGCCAGUGAGAGUAAGGUUAAUAAAGCGGUCCCAUGAUUUUCCAAGAGAUUCUUCUUCCAGUUGUCUAAAAGAAAUAAUCUCCCGCCGAAGUUCUGCCACUUUGGAGAUUGGAAAAUAUUUAAAAAGAAAACUAUUAUAUAAGUCCUUCCAAUCUCCAUGAACACUCCCUACUUUGAGUUUGUACCAAUGUCUAGCUUUUCCUGUUAAAGAGAACGGAAAGAGCUUCCAUUUAAGGGUCUCAUCAGACAUGCCUUCAAUGUGAAGGAGGUCACAGACUCGAUAAAACUCUCUUAGGUGUGUGUAUGGGUUUUCCUCACCUUCUCCUGAGAAAGGUUGUUUUUGAACAAAUUCUAUGUAUUCGGGGUCUAUCUCAAAACUAGAUGCUAUGAUAGGCUUUGAAGAUUUUGGUGGUUCGAGAUGUGUGCCCGUAGGUCUAUGAAAUUCAUAGAUAGACAUGUUUGCCUUCAUGAUAGACCAGAGAUCAAGGAUUAGAUAAGAAGAAAGAACAGCAGAGAUAAGGCAAAUGAUAAAAGGAAAAAUAUAUUUUUUUUAUUUUUUUAGAAAAUGAUUAAGCUAGUUCGUAGUCAACUCAGCAACCAUUUCCCCGGAAACGGCGCCAAAAAUGCUUGUUGACACUUGCUAACACUACUUGAAUACUAGGUAGUCAUCCGUAGCAUGGCACUAGAGUGUACUAUGGUAUUUAUACGCACACAGAUAAAUCCGCAAGCGCACGGAUACCAUUGUAGCUUUUACCCGGUUAAAGGUUUUAUCGUAUCCACAGGGAAACGGGAGAACUGAUCUAUGCUCUAACUUAACCUAGAUAGAUAGGUAGGUGUAAAUAGGAAAGAUGGUAGAAUUGAGUAAGAACAAUAUUCAAGGUAAGAUAACAAUGGGUGAUAAUAUGGGAAUAGAGAGUAGGGCAAUCUAGUAUAUGCGUGAUGGUAGGAGAACAGAGAGGAUAACUAUGGUUUCUCUACAUCAAAGAGGUAUGUCUAUGUCUAGGACAAACCACAUGGUAAGAAUACACCACAAAGGAUGCUUAUCCAUAGGCCGAUAAACCCUACCAGUCCUACUAACGGGAGGUGGACUACAGGGGACCAACGUAACUGUCACCUACGCGGCCUGCCACACAAUCCGGCUAAACAGGGGAUAUCCACAAGUAAUCUAGGUCUAAGCACCACGCUUACACAUAUACUACAACUCUCACCUAUAGCGUCCUAUAGAUUAAAGUACUCAAAAGAGUUGUCAACCAGAACAUACAUGGAUAGUAAUUGCAUAAUGAAAUAGAAGUAGAUUACCAGAGUCAUCCCACGAGCAAGCUUGAUUAGAGCUUAAUCAUGGCGAAGUAUAACCGGAGGAAGAACCGACAGGCCGGCCUCUCCUCCAAUCCUCCCUCGCUCUCCAUCUCGCUACUAUCUAGAUCUACUCUAGUUUAGAGAAGAGAGGAGAGCUCUCAUCUCCAAACCCUAGCUUUUGUUCUGUCUAUGAAUAAUGAAUAAGGAUGAAGGGGUUGCCUCCGCCAGGGGCUAGGGGGCCUGCUUAUAUAGUCACCUCAAGUGAAUCUGGGCCGUUGGAUCAAACCGACAUUAAUCACACGGUUUUCCUUGAUCCUUUAGGUCAGUGGACCAUAAUCCACGAGAUUGAUCGUGAUUGGCUGAAAAAGUAGGGCGGGCGCCCUGUCCCUGAGCCCACUCGGCUUCCCGUUCGUUCCCGUGGCUUCUGGAGUCUUCUAGAUGAUAGAAAAUUGCGCGGUACGUUAAUAUCUCUAUGUAAACCCGACAUGUGGGCCUUUCCUCCAAAUUUCCUGAUAACCCCCUGCAGAAAUAGAGAAACACCAAAACUCGUGGAAUUCUAUCAGAUAAGACCCUAAGUCUGGGUGUUGGUUGCAUUUGAAUCCUUUUCUUUAUUUAUUUGAUGAUUAAAUUUGGUACUUAAGGACCGUCAACACUCCUACGGCGGGGUCAUAAAGAGAAUCCACAGGUGUCCUGCUUAUGAGACAACGAAUGGUUGUGAAAUAGGAGAGAAGCCUGAUAACAUCAGACGACACUUCUGACUCCUUCAGCCAUUCGCUGCUCAUAACAGUCAUGAGCUCUUGACUAGUUGCUUUGAGGUAACAAGCCUCUAAGCGAGAAGAUACUUGCUCUUUUGGAGUGUUGUGGUUUCUCUUUUGCACAGGUUGUUUCGAGAUGUUGCCAUAAUCGGUGAAAAGAUCCAUCUUGAUGUUAAGAGGAUACUCCAAUGGAUGAAUCACUUCUUCCUUUGGAGGUAUUUGGGAUUGUGGUUUAGGCUCGACAGCUUGUGAUGUGGCUAUUGUAGGGUCAGCUGAUGAGGUUUCAUCCCUAGGGGCUUGGUCUUCCUCAGGGGCAUCACUAUGGUCAUCAGUGUAGGGGGUGUUGUCUAGUAUGGUUGCUAGGACCACCCUACCUUCACUAAUGGGUAAAUGAAGGAAUGCUCCCUUCGAGGCUAGAUCAAGGAAUUGUGUGGAACUUUGCCUAAGACCGAGAUAGAAAUGCUGCAUUAGCGUUGGCUCGGUUAUGGCUAAGUCUGGGCCUGAGGACACUAAGUUUGUGAUUCGUGCCCAAGCCGCACCUAGAGAUUCCUUCUCUUCUUGCUGGAAGUUUACAAUCUCUCUACAGAGACAAGCCACACGAGAAAUGGGGAAGUAGGUAAGGCAAAACUUGGCUUACAGCUUCUCCCAUUCUCUGUCUACGCUACCUACAUAGCAAGAGUACCACCGUCUGGCUUUUCCCAUCAAAGAGAACAGGAAGAGAUUCCACUUACACAGCUACAGAAAACAUUUUUACAUACGAUGCUAAAAGCAUCUUCAUAGGUGGCCAAGUCCAUCGCCUGUACCGGGGGUCAUUACAAAAUGGACCACAGUACAGGCGGGGUAGUGUGAGCCACCUAUGGAAAUUGGGUUUUCACAGGCAGCUCACCUAGUCAGCC
rnacentral:lncRNA from 1 species